rnacentral:rRNA from 1 species
GAUGAACGCUGGCGGCGUGCCUAAUACAUGCAAGUCGAGCGAACGGACGAGAAGCUUGCUUUUCUGAUGUUAGCGGCGGACGGGUGAGUAACACGUGGAUAACCUACCUAUAAGACUGGGAUAACUUCGGGAAACCGGAGCUAAUACCGGAUAAUAUUUUGAACCGCAUGGUUCAUAAGUGAAAGACGGUCUUGCUGUCACUUAUAGAUGGAUCCGCGCUGCAUUAGCUAGUUGGUAAGGUAACGGCUUACCAAGGCAACGACGCAUAGCCGACCUGAGAGGGUGAUCGGCCACACUGGAACUGAGACAUGGUCCAGACUCCUACGGGAGGCAGCAGUAGGGAAUCUUCCGCAAAGGGCGAAAGCCUGACGGAGCAACGCCGCGUGAGCGAUGAAGGUCUUCGGAUCGUAAAACUCUGUUAUUAGGGAAGAACAUAUGUGUAAGUAACUGUGCACAUCUUGACGGUACCUAAUCAGAAAGCCACGGCUAACUACGUG